UUGAUACAUCACGCUAUUGUGAUUUCUGUGUGUAAUUUGCUGUGUCUUUUUACCUCCUAGGUAAAAGAUAGGUGAACAGAGGCAUGAAUGGAAUGGAAUUACCCAAGUGGUUGGGCUAAUUUGCUUCUACUGCAGCCGGAAUUUACAUCAGACUUAUGGCUGAUAAUAUACCCCGCCUUCUGUCUGUCCUCCACGUCUCCUAGCCUGUCUACUAUACAUGUAUUGUUAUCAUAGUAGUGUGCCUUACUACGUACUCCGUCAACUUGUUAUUAAACUUCCUCUGGUGUUGUCGAGCGCCGUGUGUCUAGCUUUAAUGCUUCCUCCAUAAAGCGUCAAGGGUAUUGCUUUACUGCUCGUUAACCAGCUUUUAUCUGCGAUUAUAUAGUCUAUAAGGAGAUUUGCUCGCUGCUAAAUUAUCCCCGUCGUAAUAGAGUGGGUACGUUCAUUGCCGUUUGGAAACAUUGAUGAGCUCCCAGGAAAUUAUACGCAUAAAUCUUGUUAAAUCCAAUUUAUACGCUUUUGUAACUUUAAUAUGGAGAUAUUUUAUCCAGUUUCAUAUAGGGAUGACCGCAGCAAGCCCUUUGGUCUAUAUUUAGCGGGGUCCCUUAUUAAUGUAAUUGAUCAUGUUCAACAGCAAGAGGGGGGGGGGUAUACCCUCAAUUGAUAUAUUUAUAUGAGAGCCGAGUGGCAUAGUCUUAAGUCUGACGGAUUUAGAACCUGAUGAUCCCUUCAAAGGGAUGGUUUGAAUAUUAAGAAAUCGAAUAUAUUCAAAAUUCAUUUGAAUAUAUUAACUGCGGCUUAACUCGAUAUUUCAACAAAACUGUUCAUUAGUUUGUGAAUGUAAUUUUAAUGUCGGUCAGCUGAUCUUGUAUAUUUGAUUUUACAGUACUAUUGUAAAGCUAUGCGAAUUAAGAAGAGAAUAGGAUUUGUUUAUAUUUUAAACUGGAACCUCAUAGACCAACAUAUUACACUGGCACUGAUCACAAUGAAUGUGAUCAAUGCAUUUUGAGUUUUCAAUCCUUCGGCUCAGUAUAUUGAAGUCAUUUUAAUUUCCCUCGUGGACAAUAACGAGUUAUGAUCAUUUUUUAUUAUGUAGUAAUAUUUAACGAAUUUUAUUAUAACUGAUGAAAAUCAGAGCGCAUAGAUGAAAAAGGUCCGCAUAAAUGGAGUGAAGGAUGACUCAUUUUAGAAGUGCCUGUUCCCUCUCAUGAUUAACAUGAACGACCUUAGUACUGGAGGAGUGAUCAGCAAGUUGUGUGUACUAUGAAGAUUGAUAAAGAUUAAACCACCCAAGAGGUGGCACGGGCAUGAAUAGCCCGUAAAAUGUACUAUGAAGAUUGAAAUUGAAAUAAGUUUAUUGAGGUAAAAUACACAAUACACAAUUCCUCCUUUAUCUAUGGAGAUAGGACGUAUAUAUAUGAGUAAACAGAAAAAAUAUCAAGACUAAUGAACUGCAAAAGGACAAUUCCAAUGCGUGCAUUGUUAAACAUUUCCUAAGAUUGUUCUUUACAAAGAUUAUAAUAAUCUUUUAAGUGUAUGGCUACUUUACUAAUGAAUUAUAUAUUAAUUCUUGAUUAAUUGGUUAACUAAAACUGCCAAUAGUAGUUGAGGUAACUAUUUAACGGUAACUACCACCUUGGCUGACAUUUUCGUUGAAUGGAAGACAAGGCGAGACAUCAGUGUGGCCCGAGGCCUUGGCGGUGGCGGGCCUGCUGCUUCCUCCUCUCUUGGCCAGCUAAGCCAUUUGAUAUUUCUUUUGUUGGGUUUAAAUGGUGUAUGGACAGUCACUUCUUAUUAACGUACUAAGGUCCGGCCAGCUACAGCCGCUGAAGAGAAGACGUUCAGUCGCUGGACUGAGUAUGUACAACGACGGAAUAAGAUGGACUAUGUCAUUACUUUAGUCUGAUUUAAGAGCUCUUCUGAUGUCUCUCGGCGACUGUUUAAAUUUCAAUAAUAAAUUACUACCUUAAA
rnacentral:lncRNA from 1 species